rnacentral:rRNA from 1 species
GAUGAACGCUGGCGGCGUGCUUAACACAUGCAAGUCGAGCGAACGGACGCGAAGUUUGCUUCUCUGAUGUUAGCGGCGGACGGGUGAGUAACACGUGGAUAACCUACCUAUAAGACUGGGCUAACUUCGAGAAACCGGAGCUAAUACCGGAUAAUAUUUUGAACCGCAUGGUUCAAGAGUGAAAGACUGUCUUGCUGUCACUUAUAGAUGGAUCCGCGCUGCAUUAGCUAGGUGGUAAGGUAACGGCUUACCAAGGCAACGAUGCAUAGCCGACCUGAGAGGGUGAUCGGCCACACUAGAGCUGGGACGCGGUCCAGACUCCUGCGGGAGGCAGCAGUAGGGAAUGUUACGCAGUGGGCGAGAGCCUGACGGAGCGACGCCGCGUGAGUGAUGACGAUCUUCGGAUCGUGAUACUCUGUUAUUAGGGAAGAACAUAUGUGUAUGUAGCUGUACACAUCUUGACGGUACCUGAUCAGAAAGCCACGGCUAACUACGUG